AGUUUAAUACCGUGUUGGGGCAAGUAGUUUGCCGGCUUUUUUUGCAUUACCUCACUUUGGUUUCCUCCCCUGCGAAAGCGUUUAUAACCGAAGCCUCAUUCCGGCACGGGCCUGCGCCUGAGCUGCGCCCAUCCCCACCCGGGGGGGGGGCUUCCUACGGGAGGCAGCAGUGGGGAAUAUUGCACAAUGGGCGCAAGCCUGAUGCAGCAACGCCGCGUGCGGGAUGACGGUUUCGGGUUGUAAACCGCUUUCAGCAGGGACGAAGCGAAAGUGACGGUACCUCAAAGAGACCACC
rnacentral:rRNA from 1 species